rnacentral:misc_RNA from 1 species
GUGAAUCAUCGAAUCUUUGAACGCACCUUGCGCUCCUUGGUAUUCCGAGGAGCAUGCCCGUUUGAGUGUCAUGAAAACCUUCAACCCCCCUCUCCGCAUCUGUCGAGGAGGGAGUUUGGACUUGGGUGCUGCCGCCGCUCUCUGCGGCUCACCUCAAACGCAUUAGUCGACUCCUGCCGGCCUCACCUUUGACGUGAUAGACAUCGUCGUCGAGGUUCAGGUUGGCCCACCUGGAGCGGCUCACAACUGUCUUUGGACAUCGAAAGAUACCUACAACCCCCUUUGACCUCAAAUCGGGUA